rnacentral:misc_RNA from 1 species
UUCCAGUAAAUUUGCUUUGAACAAGAGAAGUCUUUCUUUUGCUCCAUCAAGAGCACGUAAGUGCUCUGUCUUCUUAGGAUCAUCUAUGGCAUGUAUCCAAAAAAAUAGCGAACAAAAAGAGAAACAAAGAUUACAGAUGUUCAGUGGUCGAUGUCGUAAUUUAGGAGGUGAGGAGUUCAAAUUCUAACAGGAAUUAAAAAUUUUUUCUAGAAUUUAGAAAAAUAAGAGAUGGUCACCUGGGUCACGCACAGUGGCCUUAACUGUAUAACCACGCUGAAGCAAAAACUUGAGCAGCCAUGAAGCUAUGUAACCUGAACCUCCUGUUACACACACCACUUUUCCUUCUCCACUCAUUCUCUCCUUUUCUUUUUUAUAGAAAUUUUGAAUUGACAGAUUCUGCAUUCAGUUGGAAGUUUUGAGGAUUAUUUGAUGCCUCUAUGUGUGGCUUUUAAGUGGAAUAACCAACCUGAAUAUUGGUUCAGCAAUAAGCUCUGGUUUGGAUUAUGCAUAAGCAAUGAGCUAAG